UUUUUCUCUUCACAGGUUUUGAUAAAUCUGCCCCACUUUAUGUAUCUGGGCCUAUUAUGGGCUGCCAACAGCGCCGCACCUUGUCUGCAGGUAACACAUCAGCCACAGUUCUUCUUUAAAGGAAAGUCUUGAUUUACCUUUGAGGAACAGUGUGAAUCAUCUUUAGAAGCUGUUACUAGUGACCGAUUUCCCCUGACAGGGAGUGGACAGAAGAUUGCAAAGAAGUAAUACACCUAGUGGCCAAGACUUUAAAGAUGUAACUACGCCUCCUCAUACCUAUUCAUAAGUCUUCCCUGCACUUAGCUCAAUCCUACUCAGAACCCUCACUCUUGCAAAGUAACACUGCAAGUCCACCAUGCCAAAGAUGUCACUGCGGAAGUGUUGGACGCUUUGUGUAUUAUUGAGUUAGAGGAACGUCAUGAUGUCAUUCGGCCUCGGCUUUAAUCAGAAGUAACAGUCGGAGGGAUGCAGCCGAGCGUGCGCGGAGAUUAUUUACACACCGCGGGAAUGUGCGUCUUAUGUCAGACUUUUACACAACUCUUUACAGCACAUUCCCAAAUUGGUUCCACAAGACGGGAUUCGCACAAGGGACUAUAGUUGUAUAUUUAAUGGGAAACUGUUGUCGGGCCCCUCGAAAAAUCACAGAAAAUCAAAUAAAUACUUUUCACGUGUUUACGUUUCUUUUCAAUCUGAGAUGUUUGAUAAAGAACAGAAUAGGGUCUGAAAUCCUUCCAUGUUCUUCUAUUAGUUAGUAAGGAUGAUAAUGUCAUAUG